rnacentral:rRNA from 1 species
UUUUUCGGUUGGGGAUGGGCUCGCGGCNUAUCAGUUUGUUGGUGAGGUAAUGGCUCACCAAGACGACGACGGGUAGCCGGCCUGAGAGGGCGACCGGCCACACUGGGACUGAGACACGGCCCAGACUCCUACGGGAGGCAGCAGUGGGGAAUAUUGCACAAUGGGGGAAACCCUGAUGCAGCGACGCAGCGUGCGGGAUGACGGCCUUCGGGUUGUAAACCGCUUUCAGCAGGGAAGAAGCCUUUAUCGGUGACGGUACCUGCAGAAGAAGUACCGGCUAACUACGUGCCAGCAGCCGCGGUAAUACGUAGGGUACAAGCGUUGUCCGGAAUUAUUGGGCGUAAAGAGCUCGUAGGUGGUUGGUCACGUCUGCUGUGGAAACGCAACGCUUAACGUUGCGCGUGCAGUGGGUACGGGCUGACUAGAGUGCAGUAGGGGAGUCUGGAAUUCCUGGUGUAGCGGUGAAAUGCGCAGAUAUCAGGAGGAACACCGGUGGCGAAGGCGGGACUCUGGGCUGUAACUGACACUGAGGAGCGAAAGCAUGGGGAGCGAACAGGAUUAGAUACCCUGGUAGUCCAUGCCGUAAACGUUGGGCACUAGGUGUGGGGGACAUUCCACGUUCUCCGCGCCGUAGCUAACGCAUUAAGUGCCCCGCCUGGGGAGUACGGUCGCAAGGCUAAAACUCAAAGGAAUUGACGGGGGCCCGCACAAGCGGCGGAGCAUGCGGAUUAAUUCGAUGCAACGCGAAGAACCUUACCAAGGCUUGACAUACACCAGACCGUUCUGGAAACAGUUCCUCCCCUUUGGGGUUGGUGUACAGGUGGUGCAUGGUUGUCGUCAGCUCGUGUCGUGAGAUGUUGGGUUAAGUCCCGCAACGAGCGCAACCCUCGUUCUAUGUUGCCAGCACGUGAUGGUGGGAACUCAUAGGAGACUGCCGGGGUCAACUCGGAGGAAGGUGGGGAUGACGUCAAAUCAUCAUGCCCUUUAUGUCUUGGGCUUCACGCAUGCUACAAUGGCUGGUACAGAGAGAUGCGAGACCGCGAGGUUUUAGCGAAUCCCUUAAAGCCAGUCUCAGUUCGGAUCGUAGUCUGCAAUUCGACUACGUGAAGUCGGAGUCGCUAGUAAUCGCAGAUCAGC